UAAGAAUAUAAUAUAUUUAAGUACAAGGGCAUUUUGAGUUAUAUUUUAAAAUAUAGGACUAACGAAUACUUAAGUCAAAAUAUAGAGAAUAAACAAGUAUUUACCCAUGAAUUAUGCCAUAAUAGUUUAUACAAAAUAAGUUUUUACAGUUGUUUAUAGCACUAUUAUUACUCUUUGGUAUUAAGGAAAUGUGGGUUUCAAAGGAAACUACAACUAACUACGGCUAACAUUCUAAGACCCAAAAUGGUAAAGAGUUCCUUAGUGAAAGCCUGUGAGGUGAUCACUUGACCAUUUGAAAGUCUCGUAGACUUAGACAAAAUGAUGAAAAGAUUUUUUGUUUACAUUUGCAACUAUUUUUGUAUUAUGUUUAUGUGUUGAGUAGAUCUUGAUGAAUGGAAAGUACGCUUUGAAGUGUGAAUUGUUUGAUUGAUUUCGAUGAUCAUUUGGUUUGUUUUGGAUUGACUUGUAUAUGUAUGAAUUUUUGUUAUUGAUUGAUUUGCAUCAUCAUCAUGUAUGAAAUUAGCUUAUAUGACUAUUUGUUCUUACGGAUCUGAUCACUUGUUCUAUUAAAUUAUGAUUAUGGCUUAUCUUGAUAACUAUCUUGGAUUCAUUGAUCUAUUGAUAUUAUGAACUUAUGCUUUUCUUAAGUCUUGAUGAUGUAAAAAUGGGGAGAAGAAAUGUGUAUUUUGAAUGUGUGUUUCCCCUUGACUCUUGAUGGUUAUACUUGAUAUGUUUAAUAUGUCCACACUUGAUAAAGUUUGACCCUAUGAGUUCAACAAUUGAUGAAAAUGCAUAUUUAGACUUUUUUGACUUUUUUUAUGCAUUAAUGUCUUGUUUCCUUUUGAUUAUGUCAAAAGUGGGAGAGAGAUAUAUGUAUUUUGAUAUAUUAAUGCAUUUGAGAUUAUUUUAGUUGAAUUCAAGUGUCACGUUAAUCUUUGUUGAGGUUAUUUAUCUUGAUUUCUUAAAUAUGAUUAUGGACUACUACUUAAAUUACUUUUUAAUGAUGAUGUCCAAAGGGGAAGAUAAAGGAUGUAUUUUGAUAUGAUCAAGAACUUACAUGCUUAAUAAGAUGAGAUCAUCUUGAAUACUUGUGUGCUUAAUAAAAUGAGAUAAUUUUGAAGAGUGCUUGUAUGCUUGAUGACAUUAUAAUGAAGUGAUUUAAUUAGGGUUAUUUCUUGAUUCAUUAACCUUGAGCUUCUUGUAAUGCUUUUAAUGUUUUGACAUUUCAUAAAGCCCAUAUCACACAUAAGGGGCACAUUUUAUGGAUGUCAAAAUUUUAUUUUAUAAAAAAUUAUCAAAAUCUAUCAAAACACAUUAAGUGUUUGUCAUCAUUAAAAAUGAGGAGAUUAUUGACCCAAAAGGUCUAAGAAACUUUAAUUUUAAUGAUAAUAAAUAGUACGGUAAGCGUAAUAUGGGAAAAAUAUUUUUGAAUCUCAUUAGUUCUUGAAAGUUAAAAGUAAUUCAUGUGAGAUUAAGUUCAAAUUACUCAAGGACAUUUUCAUCAAGUCAAUACUCAAAUGUGAAGAACAUUAGCUCAGAUCAUGUUUCAUUUUCAUAAUUCUUGUAAAGAUAGUUUAUUGGAAUUAUGCACGAUUAAGCACUUAAAGCUCAAAUUUAUAAUGAUCAUGGCAUUUAAUUCUAUCUUUAUUUUCAUAAAUUAUGUUUUUAAUCUUUGUUUUCAUAAAUUAUGUUUUUAUUCUUGAAAAAAAAUGGAAGCUAAAUAUUUUAUCAAUAUGAAUUUCUUCUAAGUAUAUGGAUUGAUUUGAAAAGAUGUUGAAAAGUUUUGAUAUAUCGAAAAAUAUGGAGAGUUUACAUAGUCUUAAUGCCAUUUCUAUAAUCUUUAAAAAAAAACUAUUUGAUAAUGUUUUAAUUUUUUUGGGUAUUUUUGUAAUUACAAAAAGUUUGCAAACAUGGACCAAAUGCAAAGCCUUUAAAAAGCAAAUUUGUUUGUUAUUAUUAAAUAUCUAGUGAAUAAUUGGCUAAUCAAUUUACCUAAAGGAAUAAUUGGCUAAUCAAUUUACCUAAAGGAAUAAUUGGCUAAUCAAUUUACCUAAAGCAACAGACUAGUUUGUUUGAAAUCCUUUAACAAUAACUAGCCACAUCAUUAAAAUGGUCAAUCAGUUUGAUUAAAGCGAUAAACUGGUUUCACAUAGAAUUUUUAUUUUAUGCUUUAGAUGGCUAGUUUUUUUAUUUAUCUAUAUAAAACUAACUCCAAAUCAUUUUCUAAGGUCAAUCUGAGUUAAAACUUGAUAUUUCUAAGCACUUCUGAGCUUUUACUUAUUCUUACUUGAGCUAUCAUUUGCAUAUAUACUCAUGUGAGAAGUAUGUUCUUUAGAAACUUCAUCUCAAUCUUUCAAUUAAGUGAUUGUAAUUAUGAGAAAGAUUUGGGCGAAAAGGCGAGGAAUGUACACCUCAUUGUGAAGGCAUAUUGACACCUUAAGUCAAUUGUAAUUUUUGGAGCCUCAUGAUAUAAGGCUCGUUUUAAUAGAAUCUUCAAGAUUGGAUAGCUUGGAGGCAUAUACAUAAGCUGAUUGCUGAGCCGUGUAAAAAUUUGGUGUAUUUAUUUUUCUCAACUAUUAUCUUUUAAUUUACUUCUUUUUGUGGUUAUUGUUGGUAUUGUUUGGUGGUAGUUGUUGGUAUUGGAUUAUGGUUAUAAUAAAUGGAGAAACUUUAAAACCCAAUUCAUCAGUCCCUCCACCUCCCCCCAUAGGUGGUUUCGCUAGAAUUUCAAAUAUAAAGUAUGAAAUGGGGUGGCUUGAAAAGUUUGUUUAAAGAAUAAUUUAUCCAAAUGUCUAAUUAAAUUUUCUUUCAAAACAAGGAAAGAAUUAAUUUAUAUUUGGCUAUUUAAGUUUAUUUCAAUUAAAAAAGAGUUUCAAGAGGGAUUUUGAUGGGUGCCAAAAGGUUAUUUUUCUUUAUACUUUGGCUUUGCUUGCUGUGGUUAUAUUGUAUAUUACAUGAAAAGAGGAAAAAAAAGAAAGAGUAUGGUUGCAUUUAUUUAUUUAUUUUUUGUCUGAAAUCUAAUUAGGCCCGAAUGCAAAUAUCUAAAUGACAUAUUUAUUUUCUUUUUUCAAUGUCAAGCAGAAAAAUCUAAAAGUCGGUAUUUUGAUAUAAAUAUUCUUUUAAGUUGUACAUAUAUUUGUUCUUUUCAUUUUAGAAAUUUAACAAAUUGAUUAGUUUUGAUAGGAUUAAAAAAAUACUACUAUCAUGGUUUCUUAUUUUGGUUUUAUAAUAAAGGAUGUAAUUAUAACAUCAACCAUCUGAAGUCAACACCACUUUUUUUUUUAAGUUUUGAUAUUCGUGGCAAUGGACACAAUUCAUCUCUAGAAGCUUUACAAUAUGUGCCAAUUUGUUUAAUAUUUUGACUUAGUUAAUGUUAUCAUGCCGAAUAAAAGAAUUAAAACAAUUAAAAGAAAAAGUACUUUUAAUGAUGAUACAAAAAUAUUAGGUUUAUACAUAAUUUAGCAAACAUAUGAAUUGUUAAUGGUGUUUUGGAGAUUUGAAAUUAAAAUUUUCUUUUCAAAUUUUAGAAUUCAAAUAAAAGAGGAUUUUUUUUUUCAACUUUUUCUAUUCAGUUAAAAAUGUCACAUAAUAAGUAAUAAAUUAAAAAAACACAAAAUAAGUAAAUAUUUGAAAAAAAAUUAAAUUUAAUCUUCAAACUAAAAAACCAAACAAUAGCUAGAUACUCUUUUAAUUCUUAGGAUUUGAUCAAAUUGCCUAGUUUAUUAAUGUCUUUUUAAGAUUUAUCCAAAGCAAGUAUAUCAUUACAUAUUUUCAUUGAAAUCUGUUUAAUUAUUCUUUGUUUUUUUUUCGGAUACCUUUGUGUAAGACUCACUUAAAUUUUAGUUAUAUACAAGUAGGGGUGGGCAAAAUCGGGUUCGGAUCGGAUUCAGAUCAACCCGAUCGGGUUUCGAGUUGAUCGGGUUGGAUGAAAAUUCAUCCGAACUCAAUCUGAACUUAAAACCCGACCCGAUCCGAUCUGAAUAUAAUUCGGAUCGGAUCGGGUUAUAAAUUCGGGUUAAGUUCGGAUCGGAUCGGAUGCGGGUUGGAUGCGGUUCGGGUUAGAUUUGAAUCAAUUUGGGACUAUUCGGGUCGGGUACAAUUCAAAAAUAGAUAAUUACCUAUUAUUAACAACCACCAAAUACCAAUUAAACAUUAAUCUUUCACACAUUAUAUAUAAUAUACAUCUAUAGCAUCACUGUCAAAGGCUCUAAGCUUCCAAAACCCAAAGUCAACAGCCAAAAUUCGGGUCGCAACUUACCGGGUUCGAAUGGGUGUUGCCGAGUUCGAAUAGACCUUGAAUCAGAUUGGAUAAUGGUGAAGGAUUAGAGACAUGGAGGUGGCGCAACAAAUCCGGUACUUCGUAGCAGUAGAUUGGCUUCGGUUGGUGUCGAAUCUUGCGUCUGGCGUUGGAUCUCGGCUUUGGUUGGCGUCAGCUUUGGUUGUGUGUGUGUUUGUGUUUCGUUUAUUUGAGGGAGGCUGGGGGUUGGCUGUCGGCAGUGGGAUGCGAGCGAGGGAGGCUGUGGGUGGUGGGUGAGUGACCGUGUAUGUGGGUUGGCUGUCGGCAGUGGGCUGUUGCUGCUGCCGUGCUGCUUGUGCUGUUGUUAAUGUGUUAUUUGUGUGUGUCUGCCCGAUUUGUGUUUGACUUGUGUUUGUGUGUAUUGCGUAUGUAAUUAUGUAUUGUGAAAUGUGAAUAUGUUGUUUGUGUGUGGCGUGUGUUUAGAUUUAGGUUUUUUUUUUUAAAGCAACCCGAUCGGGUUUUCGGAUCGGGUUUGAUCUGAUCCAAUGGCAACCUGAUCGGGUUUCACCAUUUUCAUCCGAUCGGGUUUCCUUUAUAACCCGAUCCAAUCCAAACCCGAAAUUUUUCGGAUCGGAUUGGAUCGGGUAUUUUGCCCACUCCUAUAUACAAGGAUAAAGACUCAGUACUGAACUGAAUUCUUACUGAGCACUGAAUCAAUAGUUGUUACUUGUUAGAUAAGAUAACUUAAAAAAUAAAAAUUUUAAAACAAUUUUAAUCAUUGAUUUAGUGCUCAGCAAAAACUUAACUUAGCACUAAAUCCUAAUUUUAUAUACAAACAUACUAUUUUAUCCUUGAAAAGUUAGAUCCAAGAGUCAUAAACUAACAAAAUGACGAUUUGGAUAACCUUUUAAAAUACAAGAUGUAAAUUUGUGAGGUAUUUCAAAAUAUUCAUAUUAUUCCAAAUUGACAAAACCCAUAUAGUCUUAAGACAUGUACACACAGGCUUGGGCCCAUUUCUUAGCCACUUUAAUGAAAACUAUACACAUAAAUCAAUUAGUCGAACUAAUUUGACUCGGUCAAGCCGCAUAUCCACAUGUGAACAGCAGUGGCUUGAUAUUAGCACUGCAAUUGCUUGAUAUCAGGUUUUAAAUUAGUUUGAAGCACUGAUUUUUGGGGAAAAAAUCAAUGAGAUGGUUGUUGUAAUUCAAGAUUAUAAAAAGCAAGCUAUGACUGAUUGGCGAUAGGCAAAAAGAUUUCUUUUCUUCCUCUUCUUCUGCAUCAAAUCCCUUACACUUUACUAGAAAAUACACGAAGCUAGCUAUUUGGAGCAAUUGUAGUUUGGAAUACUCCAUUACAGUUGUAACUGUAAUGCCAUUGAAUCUUAAAAGAUCAUACUAUCUUUAAUUAUUUUACACACCCGAAAAUCAUUGGAAAAGAGUCAGAAUCUGUUCUUUAAGGACAGUGCUCUGUGGGCACACCUUCGCUUCUUAAUUUCAUCACUUUCUGUGUUUUGUGUCAAUUAAUUUAACUGUUUUGCUGCUCCUGAGUUUAUCAGUUGGCUUUUUUGAAGAUUUGCUGAAUUGGGAACAAGCGAAGUUGACUUGCAGCCAAAUGUUGUAUCAAACUUGUUGGCUUGGAAUUUGAGUUCAAUUUGGCUUGUUAAUUUCUUAUUNNN
rnacentral:lncRNA from 1 species